rnacentral:rRNA from 1 species
UCUAAGGCCAUACUUAGUACGGCGAGUGAGCGGUAAAAGCUCAAAUUUGAAAUCUGGUACUUUCAGUGCCCGAGUUGUAAUUUGUAGAAUUUGUCUUUGAUUAGGUCCUUGUCUAUGUUCCUUGGAACAGGACGUCAUAGAGGGUGAGAAUCCCGUUUGGCGAGGAUACCUUUUCUCUGUAAGACUUUUUCGAAGAGUCGAGUUGUUUGGGAAUGCAGCUCAAAGUGGGUGGUAAAUUCCAUCUAAAGCUAAAUAUUGGCGAGAGACCGAUAGCGAACAAGUACAGUGAUGGAAAGAUGAAAAGAACUUUGAAAAGAGAGUGAAAAAGUACGUGAAAUUGUUGAAAGGGAAGGGCAUUUGAUCAGACAUGGUGUUUUUUGCAUGCACUCGCCUCUCGUGGGCUUGGGCCUCUCAAAAAUUUCACUGGGCCAACAUCAAUUCUGGCAGCAGGAUAAAUCAUUAAGAAUGUAGCUACUUCGGUAGUGUUAUAGCUUUUUGGAAUACUGUUAGCCGGGAUUGAGGACUGCGCUUCGGCAAGGAUGUUGGCAUAAUGGUUAAAUGCCGCCCGUCUUGAACCCACGGACCA